UCUUCAACACAUUUCUUUAAAUCUACAGAAUGGCAGACUUUUCUACCAGGUUAUAAGCGUUUUUGAAAUAAGUGAUACUUAGCCAGCGUAACUUACUGACUUACCAUUUAAGUAUAGUCAUCACUCUCUUACUGUGAAAUUCUAAAUGCCUACCAGAGUUACCUUGUAUUAUCAUCAUAUGAUAAACAUCUCAACAGUUUGGGUUUCCCUACUUUGGUUCAGAAAGUUAUUUAAUUUCUAUCUGGGCAUUAACAGAAAAAAUAAGUAGACUUUUGUGCUGCUUUAGAUGAGAACACGGAGGAUAUGAGAUAUCCUUUUUAAUUAAUGUUUUUCAUUUCUCUCAGCACAUUGUUCUAUAAAAACAUGCUCUUAACACGUUACCUUGACCUUUUGAUCAAUGUGAGUGGCAUGUGCUUUUUUCACUUAGGACUUACUCUCGCGUUUGAAGAUUAACAGAUCAUGUUAGAUCUAAAAGGCUUUUUUGAAAACUAAAUUCUUACUACACACAUAUUUCCUUUGGUUUGGAGAAUCUAAGUGGCUCUUCAGUGUUUUGGAUCUACAUUCAGAUGUGCUACUUGAUAAGAUACUUAUUUUUCAAGCUUGAUUUCUCAGCUGAUCAGAUGAAUUUAUUCAACUUCGAUACAAAGAAAGACAAACCUAUUGUAGUUUGAAGUGAGUAGAUAUACUGUACAGAACAGCUAACUAUUUGAACACACAUCACUGCUUUAGAAAUAAACCGCCAAUUUAUAAAUGUAUAUGACCUACAUUUUAUAGGAGAAAUGUUUUUAAAUGCUAGUCAUUUAUAUAAUGUGCUUUGAAGGAUUUGCUAGUCCACUUCUGUCACUUUUUAGUACACUGGUAUCUUUUAUAUGUAAUGUAUGCUUUUUAUUAUUGUAGCAGAGCAUUUCAGUAGAAAGAAUUUUGCAACAAUAUGGGGGAACUUUUUCAUUGUUGGAUUUGAAUUAUACUGGAUUUUAUCUGUGUAGUCUUACUUGUCUUUAUUUUAAUGCUGUCUGGAAGGGAACUUGGUAUCCAAAUAAAGCAGGUAACCUCAUUUUACUUCAAGGGCAUACUGUGUAGUGCUGAAUUUUAAUCUGGAAAUCUGAUGAUUUUAAAAAGAAAAACAAGUUUAUAAAAAUUGUACAGAAGAAAUUAAAUGUGUGAUGGAAAUCCUGAUGGUGGAGCACGUUGAAUUUUCUGAUAUAUAGUGUUAUUUUCCUGGGAUCCCCUAUGCCUUCUUUGUAUUUCAACUAAUAAAGGAAAAGCCCUGUCAUUGAAACUGGUAGGAUAUAGGAUAUUCUGAUUAUACAGUAUUACUUUUCCUAUCCAUUUUCUGACCUUUUCUCAAUCACUGUAAAAUUUUAUUUUCUAUUUCCUAUUGAUAAUUAAACAUGUACAUACUAUAGAUGCUGUUGUAUAGAACUGAAUGAAUUGGGUUGCUAUGCUUGAAUGGGGGGGGCUAAGUGGAAAUCGUUGGUGGAUACUGAGAAGUCACAGAAUGCCAGAGCAAAUUUACACGGGCAAGGGGGCAUCAUGUGUCCCGGGACAGCCACAGCAGAUCGCUUUUUCAGCCCCUUGGGAAAUGAGUGUGACGGAGUCAGCUGCAAACUCAGUGUCAGAGAACAAGAUGGGUCUUGCCUUCCCCCCCUCCAAAAAUAUGAGCACUAAAUUUCAAAAUCUACUCAGGUGAAAGUUGCUUUGCAAUGAAAUUUAUCACAUGGAAAUUUUCACUGUUAAAUAAGAUAUUUGUGAUAUUUUUAAAUACAAACUUUUACAUCAGUAGUUGGCAGCCUGAUAACUCAGAUUUGGUAAGUCAGUAUAUUUUAAAAUAUAUUUUGCCCUCCAAAUAGAAUUGUUUUUAAACAAUCAGGAGGCUAUUUUGUUUGUUUAAAUACAUUUUUAUUGUCAUUGUAAAAAUAAAACCUUGCUUGACCCCAUAUGCCAUGAAUGAGUUGCUGAGCCUUUGUAAUAAUUAUAGUAAGAGCUGGUUUCAUGCAGAGGCAUGGAACAUGGACGUGUUCUUUAAACAGACCUAUUCCUAAGAGGUUUGAUGGGUGUCACAGCUUUUGGCACUAUUGUCAUAUAGUUAACCUUGCCAUUUGUAGUUAAUUAUACCACUUUGUGUAUUGUCAUACUACAGGAAGUUGUCUUGCUUUAUUUUAAAUUGAAUUACUAGACUAACUUAUAUUUGCAAAUUCUGCAUUUUAAAUGUGGACACUGGCUGUUUGAAAAUAAAAAAUACAGAAUACAGUUUUAUGAAUAAUUUUCUAGCCGAGUCUUUCACAAAUUCUGAACCAAAUAACUAACGGUAAAUAUGCAAAAACCAUGGUGCAUAGACAGUUAAGGAGCGAAGAGUGUCUGUAUGGAGUAACAGUCUGUUACGCAAAUUGGGUAACAAUUGUCAGGACCUUUACUGUAGCUGUGUGUGGAAUGUUUGGUUUAGUAGUUCUAUAACGCAAGAGUCAAACGUUACUGUCAUUGGUAUUUUAGACUGAAAUAUGUUUAACAUAAAGCUAAGAGUGUGUGUGUUUCCCACAGAUUAGAUUCUCUUAGCCCAAUAUCAAGAGUGUAAGUGGGAUUUUUAUUUUAUUUUUUUCUCUUUCAUUCUUGGGAGCUACAUUUUUCAUCCAUCUGCCACUUUGCCAGUACCCUGUCUUGUGACCAGUGGGAUGCAUUGUAAGAAAGCUGUCUGCGGUUAGGGGUGCAGUUAGGAGUGCAGUGUGGGUCCAUGGAGCAACUUUAACCUAAUUGGUCCGUGCAGAGUUCAACCCUAGGACCCUGGCCUUAUUAGUAUGGUGCUUUAACCAAUUGUACAUAAUAAUGCCACUGAUAGUCUACUGAUGCAUUUCCUCAGUCCUUGUUUUUCUUGAAUAAUUAGGAAUGGUGGGGAGAGGGAUGGGGAGAUACUCUAUGUGGUACUUCUCCCACCUUCUGAAAACGAUAAGAAAAAAUAAAAUUGAAGUCACUUGAA